UGCAGAAUCCCGUGAAUCAUCGAGUUUUUGAACGCAAUUUGCGCCCGAGGCCUCGGUCGAGGGCACGUCUGUCUGGGCGUCGCAU
rnacentral:rRNA from 4 species